AGAGUUUGAUCUUGGCUCAGAUUGAACGCUGGCGGCAGGCCUAACACAUGCAAGUCGAGCGGAUGAUGGGAGCUUGCUCCCGGAUUCAGCGGCGGACGGGUGAGUAAUGCCUAGGAAUCUGCCUGGUAGUGGGGGACAACGUUUCGAAAGGAACGCUAAUACCGCAUACGUCCUACGGGAGAAAGCAGGGGACCUUCGGGCCUUGCGCUAUCAGAUGAGCCUAGGUCGGAUUAGCUAGUUGGUGGGGUAAAGGCCUACCAAGGCGACGAUCCGUAACUGGUCUGAGAGGAUGAUCAGUCACACUGGAACUGAGACACGGUCCAGACUCCUACGGGAGGCAGCAGUGGGGAAUAUUGGACAAUGGGCGAAAGCCUGAUCCAGCCAUGCCGCGUGUGUGAAGAAGGUCUUCGGAUUGUAAAGCACUUUAAGUUGGGAGGAAGGGCAGUAAGUUAAUACCUUGCUGUUUUGACGUUACCAACAGAAUAAGCACCGGCUAACUUCGUGCCAGCAGCCGCGGUAAUACGAAGGGUGCAAGCGUUAAUCGGAAUUACUGGGCGUAAAGCGCGCGUAGGUGGUUUGGUAAGAUGGAUGU
rnacentral:rRNA from 1 species